rnacentral:rRNA from 1 species
UACGAAGGGGGCUAGCGUUGCUCGGAAUCACUGGGCGUAAAGCGCACGUAGGCGGAUUCCUAAGUCGGUGGUGAAAUCCUGGAGCUCAACUCCAGAACUGCCUCCGAUACUGAGAGUCUUCGAGUCCGGGAGAGGUGAGUGGAACUGCGAGUGUAGAGGUGAAAUUUGUAGAUAUUCGCAAGAACACCAGUGGCGAAGGCGGCUCACUGGCCCGGUACUGACGCUGAGGUGCGAAAGCGUGGGGAGCAAACAGG